UACGUAGGGAGCAAGCGUUGCCCGGAAUCAUUGGGCGUAAAGCGCGCGUAGGUGGCUUCGUAAGUCCGUUGUGAAAGUCAAAGGCUCAACCUUUGAAAGCCGAUGGAUACUGUGAAGCUAGAGUACGGAAGAGGCGAGUGGACUUCCUGGUGUAGCGGUGGAAUGCGCAGAUAUCAGGAGGAACACCAAUAGCGAAGGCAGCUCGCUGGGACGUUACUGACACUGAGGCGCGAAAGCGUGGGGAGCGAACAGG
rnacentral:rRNA from 1 species